rnacentral:rRNA from 1 species
CAGCCGCCGCGGUAAUACGUAGGUCCCGAGCGUUGUCCGGAUUUAUUGGGCGUACAGCGAGCGCAGGCGGUUAGAUAAGUCUGAAGUUAAAGGCUGUGGCUUAACCAUAGUACGCUUUGGAAACUGUUUAACUUGAGUGCAAGAGGGGAGAGUGGAAUUCCAUGUGUAGCGGUGAAAUGCGUAGAUAUAUGGAGGAACACCGGUGGCGAAAGCGGCUCUCUGGCUUGUAACUGACGCUGAGGCUCGAAAGCGUGGGGAGCAAACAGGAUUAGAUACCCGCGUAGUCCCUGUCUCUUAUACA